rnacentral:rRNA from 1 species
AUUGAACGCUGGCGGCAGGCCUAACACAUGCAAGUCGAGCGCGAGGCGGACGGGUGAGUAAUGUAUGGGGACUGCCCGAUAGAGGGGGAUAACUACUGGAAACGGUGGCUAAUACCGCAUACUAUCGGAUAACCCAUAUGGGAUUAGCUAGUAGGUGGGGUAACGGCUCCCCUGGGAGACGAUCUCUAGCUGUGCUGAGAGGAGGAUCAGCCCCACUGUGACUGAGACACGGCCCAUACUCCUACGGAGGCAGCAGUGGGGAAUAUUGCACAAUGGGCGCAAGCCUGAUGCAGCCAUGCCGCGUGUAUGAAGAAGGCCUUCGGGUUGUAAAGUACUUUCAGUCGGGAGGCGUUACCUACAGAAGAAGCACCGGCUAACUCCGUGCCAGCCGCCGCGGUAAUUC